rnacentral:rRNA from 1 species
UUUCGCAAUGCCCGAAAGGGUGACGAAGCGACGCCGCGUGGGUGAGGAGGGCCUUCGGGUUGUAAAGCCCUGUCAGGAGUUAAGAAAUAUAAGUGUGUUAAUACCGCAUUUAUUUGACGAAGGCUCCAAAGGAAGCCACGGCUAACUCUGUGCCAGCAGCCGCGGUAAUACAGAGGUGGCAAGCGUUGUUCGGAAUUAUUGGGCGUAAAGAGCACGUAGGUGGGUUUGUAAGUCAGAUGUGAAAGCCUUCUGUUCAACGGGAGAAUUGCAUCUGAAACUGCAAGUCUUGAGUAUAGGAGGGGAGAAUGGAACUUCUGGUGGAGCGGUGAAAUGCGUAGAUAUCAGAAGGAACGCCGGCGGCGAAAGCGAUUCUCUGGCCUAUUACUGACACUCAGUGUGCGAAAGCUAGGGGAGCAAACGGGAUUAGAUACCCCGGUAGUCCUAGCUGUAAACGAUGGGCACUAAGUAGAGGGGUUUU